GACUGCGUAGCUCAGUUGGCAGAGCAUUGGGCUAGUAUUCCAAAGGUCCUAGGUUCGAUUCCCACCGUGGCCA
rnacentral:tRNA from 1 species